rnacentral:rRNA from 1 species
UACGUAGGGGGCAAGCGUUGUCCGGAUUUAUUGGGCGUAAAGAGCGUGUAGGCGGCCUGACAGGUCUGCUGUGAAAACUCGAGGCUCAACCUCGAGAUGUCGGCGGAAACCGUCUGGCUAGAGUCCGGAAGAGGAGAGUGGAAUUCCUGGUGUAGCGGUGAAAUGCGCAGAUAUCAGGAGGAACACCGGUGGCGAAGGCGGCUCUCUGGACAGACACCGACGCUGAGGCACGAAAGCUAGGGGAGCAAACAGG